AGUCAGUUGUUUAAAACAUUGCAACUUACCUGUUACCUUGUUACAAAUUUUAUUCUUGCACUCUUAUAACUAACAAAAUUUUGAGCUAACAGUUUUGUUAUUAUAAUGUGUUAUGUAGUUUUGUUUAUCCAUGGGGUGUGGGGGGGAAAUGUGGUUAAACAUGGAAGUUCAGUCGGAAGACUGCUGCGAUGUACAGGAAGAUAGGGCCCCGCCCCUCCAGUCUAGUUAGCCAAUAAGAGAUUAGUAAUAACGUAAGCAGACCAUAGUUAUAUAAGGCCAUGCAAAGAGGAAAUAAAUGCCAUUUUGCCAUCCACCACAUUGGUGUUCGUGAGUGAUCGGCCCGAACGACCUGUAAGUUAGUCGUCGUGUCUUUCUCGAACCGGGUUGCCCUGCCUCGAGAGAGGCAACACACAUCAUAAAGUCCAGUGAUGGGGUCACAACCUGCAAUUCCCAAGUCAUCUAUUAAUAUGUUUCUAAAGAGCUUACAAAUUAGGCAGUAAAUAUUCUGGAUAUUUCUUCCUGUUUUGUGUACAGAAUGGGAAAAGCAGAAUUCACUACAUCACAAUUUUUAAUUGACGUAUUCAUUGCAAAGGUUUAUCCUUGUACAAAAAUACCCACACACAGAAUUUAGAAAUAUGUUUUAAUUCAGCUUUUGCUGGCUGAACAAUAUACUAUGUUGUAUUAAUAUAUUUUUUUAAUGAUUCUGAAAGUAUUAAAGGUUUCAAUUUUUUGUCAUCACUACCUGUGUACACAUUCUAAAUAAGUAAACUUCUAUCUAAAAGUACAUUCCAGUUUUUGACUUUGUAUUUUGCAUUCAUUUAUACCAAAUGUGUAUAGUCAGAUUCUGACUACACCUAUGUACAUUUUAUAGGAAUGCAUUUCAGCACAACAGGAAUAGAAAUUAUUUUUUAAAAGUACUGCAGUUUUAACUGCAUAUACCCCCAAUGGUGUUCAUAUUUUUGAAAGACUAAAAAAAAAGCAAUUUCUAUAGUGUGUGCACUGUUUUGUUGAUUGAACUUCAUAUAUUAUUUAUAUUUUCAAAUAAAAUUUCUCUCUGUGUUUUAGAAGUUAAAAAUAGCUUAAAAGUUUGUCGUCUUAGGACUACAUAUAUUAGUAAUGCAUACAGAAUCAGUCUGAAAGGAAAUCAUGGUCCUUAUGAUUUACAGUUAUUCUUAAUAUUUUUAACAGUGUUAUUGCCCAGUUGCUUAGUGUUCACACUGAGAGUUGGUAGCAUCACUUUCAGGGAAGCAAGAUACUUGAUGUUUCAAUCAGCAAAGACAGUGAACUAAUACCCCUGAGCUCUGCCAAGCAAUGGCUCAAAUACAGGGACAAUGCUGAAACUGCGUGCUGUGCCUUGAAGACCAUGGCACUGAGAAAUAGACUAUGAAGGAAACAGUAACAGCAGGAAAUGCAAUACAAAAUGUUGACACCUGUAAUUAAUCUGAUAAUAUAUGAAAAAGUGAUUUAAAACUAACUGAAAAUAGGAAAACAUUGAACAUUUUCACAUGAUUAUCUAAAAUACUGUCUCACUAGAAUCCAGAAUAGGUCUCCAUCUAGAAUCUCCCUCAUAGGUCAGUUUUUUGCACCCACACACAGGGUGUCAUGUUCUGGAUUUGUGACAAAAACAGUGUUGGCAACACACCCAUGUUGUAGCUAGUGCUGAAAAAUAUAUCACAUCUGCACAAUAUCAAAGCCAUUUCUGUUUCUCACACUGUCCUGAAAACAAGUAAGGCUAGGAAUGUAAAGCAUAGUCUGGGAGGAGACACACCUGACUUCAACUGACCCCCACGGUAUCUCACACCACAUAUAGCACUAUGCCCAAUAAAAGAUAGGAAGAAGAAGGAAGAAGGAACA
ensembl:lncRNA